rfam:Glycine max cultivar Williams 82 chromosome 5, whole genome shotgun sequence.
AAAAAAGCAGGGGUGUGUUGCCUGUGUGAGCAUGCCUCUCGUAACCUUCAGGGAUAUAAUAACCAUUGUUAUUGGGUGAACCUCUGUUCCCUAUUUGUGACUGAAAGGUUCAGUAAAUGAUGGAACACAG